rnacentral:rRNA from 1 species
AUGGCUCCGGCUCCGGCGUCCAGCGGCCGCAUCCGGCCGUGGCUGGUGGUUGGCGACCUGGUCCUGGCGGUGCUGUGGGUGUGCGCGGGCGCGCUGGUGAAGCUGGCCGUGUACAACGUGCUCGGACUUGGGGGCCGCCCGGAGGGGGAAGCCGCCAAGGUCUCGCUCUCUGUCGUCUACAUGUUCCUCUUCGCCUGGCUUGAAUCCGCCACCGGCGGCGCCUCCUACAACCCGCUCACUGCCAUCUCCGGCGCCCUGGCCUCCCGCGGUGGCAUCGCCCUCUACCUCUUCACCGUCUUCGUACGGGUCCCUGCGCAGGUGAUUGGGGCGGUUAUUGGAGUGAUGCUCAUGCGAUUUGCAUUCCCUAAAGUAGGUAAAGGAGCUGCGUUAAGCGUCGGUGUUCAUCAUGGGGCUUUAACUGAAGGACUGGCAACCUUAAUGGUUGUUAUGGUGUCAUUGACACUUAAAAAGAAAGAACAGGGGUUCUUUGUGAAGACAUGGAUUGCCAGCAUUUGGAAAAUGACGAUUCAUAUCCUUAGCUCAGAUAUGACUGGAGGAAUUAUGAACCCUGCAUCUGCCUUUGCUUGGGCCUAUGCUCGUGGAGAUCACACAUCAUUUGACCACCUACUGGUAUAUUGGCUCGCACCCCUCCAAGCAACCCUUGUAGGAGUAUGGGUGGUUACCUUCUUAACUAAACCCAAGAAGACCAAGGAGCAAGAAGCAGAUAAAAACAAGAACAAAAAGGAAUAG